GACGAACGCUGGCGGCGUGCUUAACACAUGCAAGUCGAACGGAAAGGCCCUGCUUUUGUGGGGUGCUCGAGUGGCGAACGGGUGAGUAACACGUGAGUAACCUGCCCUUGACUUUGGGAUAACUUCAGGAAACUGGGGCUAAUACCGGAUAGGAGCUCCUGCUGCAUGGUGGGGGUUGGAAAGUUUCGGCGGUUGGGGAUGGACUCGCGGCUUAUCAGCUUGUUGGUGGGGUAGUGGCUUACCAAGGCUUUGACGGGUAGCCGGCCUGAGAGGGUGACCGGCCACAUUGGGACUGGGGUACGGCCCAGACUCCUACGGGGGGGAGGAGUGGGGAAUAUUGCACAAUGGGCGGAAGCCUGAUGCAGCAACGCCGCGUGCGGGAUGACGGCCUUCGGGUUGUAAACCGCUUUCGCCUGUGACGAAGCGUGAGUGACGGUAAUGGGUAAAGAAGCACCGGCUAACUACGUG
rnacentral:rRNA from 1 species